CAGGAGUCAGUGGCAGAAAAGAUGGCCAUUAGGACUGCUUUGGGAUGGCAGCCCCCCACUCUAGGGUCAGUGAUGACUCUCACACUGAUUCCUGCACUGGCUCUCAAUUGAACCCAAACCAUUAUUAGCUGUGGGGACCAACAGUUUCCCAUACAGGCUUUAGAACCAGUGUGUAUAUCCAGCCCUACUGCGGAUGACCACAUCUGUCAUCUUUGCUUCUACUUAUUUCCUAGUGCCCCAGGCAGGCACUGAUAGGUUCCUGGCGUUCCCAGCUGCAGAACCUUCACUUACAGCUAAAGAUCCCUCCCCAGCUCAGCCAUCACCGCUCCUGGUGAUGUGGAGGCUUAAUUAAAGUGUGCAGUGUGUGAUCAAUGCUGUGCCUCAUAUUAUUAUCACAAAAGCAUAGGGCAGGGUCUUAAUGAGAGCCCAGGCAUUCAAUAUGUAUUUGCUGAUUGAAUGAUUGAAGGAAGACAGGGGAAUUACCACCAACAAUACUAUUUCUGGAUACAAAACAAGAAGCCCAAUAUCAACAUUGGCCCUUUUUUGGUAAAAUGAGAAAUAAUGAUGCCUGCCUCAUGGGUUUGUUAUGAAGAUUAAAUGAGCUAAUACUUGUAAACACUUAGAACUAUGCCAGCGUAAAGCAAAACUCAAAAGUAUUAUUACUAUUUUUAUUAAACAUUGUGUUUCAACCCCCAGGGGAAGUUGCAUUUCAGUAGUUGAUGCAGUCAUGUGUUUGCCUUUGAGAACCCUUGGGGUCCUGGAUGGCGCUCUGGGCUCUCUGCCCGUAUUAGUUAACAAGGAGAAAAAUCAGUUGGAUUUAGGGCUGCCUGGUCCAGCUCUGUCCCUGAGUUCAGAUACAAUCUCAGGUUAUCUGGACCUGUACUUACAAGCUGAAAUCUCUGUUGAUCAACCACUAGAGGGAAACAGAACCAAAUAUAAUGGCAUCAGCCCCACAUUCCAUUCACCCUGAACCGCCCUCAGAGAACAUUCCAAUGUAGGGUGUACACUACAUUGUUCCUUCCUGGGGCUCUGUAAGAGGUCAAAGGACUUGAAGACUGUGUGUCACGUGGCUUCCCUGCCCCCUGCGAGGGCCGCCCCUGACGCUCCUUGGGAAACCUUAGCUAGCCAUGGUCUCCUUCUCAGCAGAUGGUGCUCUGGUCCCUUAGAAAAGUGAAGGGAACUUCUUGACUUUUCUAUGCAGAGCUUGCAUCUUCCUGAACUUUACCUUCAAUUGCCAGCUGGUUACCCCACAGGCCCCUCUAGAGACUACACCCUUUUUAUUUUCUCCAGAACUACCACCAACCCUUACAGGACAUCAGGACAUCCUGGAAGGGGAAGAGAAGCAAGCUGAAGAGCAAGCCAGCCAGAGAGGAGUUGAAUCCUAAGCUAAUUGUAGGUCUCUGCUGCUGUCCUGGAAGCAUUUCUGCCCCCAUCCACCAUGAUAGGCAAACCCUCCCCAGAUGUAUCGGAAAUCUUCCACAGGAUCGGCUCUGGGACCAGAAUCCCAGUACCUACAAAGAAACAAACGGGAGGGACAAAGGAUGUAAAUGGAAAUGGACAGCUCACUGACGCUUCAUAAGCACAAGGGGACUUGGAACUCAUUCUCUUGAAAUCUCACCCAUAAAAAUUUCCAAACUAUCUGACUCUAUUCUCUAAUUCACAGUUUAAAUCUGUUACAAAUAUCAGCCACAAAAAGACUUGUAAUUGCUUUCAUUCAAGGA